AAUAGCUGAAAUACUCCCUUUUAAAAUUGUAAUAAGAAAUAAACAUGGAUAUUUUAAAAUUUUGGUUCUUGGUAUAGACAGCUCUCUGAAUAUUCAUUUACAAUGCUAUUCAUUCUAUUUGGAAUUGGCUUAUUACCAUGUUUGCACAUGACAGAACUGAAGCUAGAAAGGUUAAGCAAUGUGCACAAAGUCACAGAGUUAGGUGGUUGGAACAGGAAUAGAAACUAUUUCUUGUGAUGACAAACCCAGUGGUCUUCUCCUACAUGUGGAGGCUUUUGACUCUUUUUUGAGCUCUUCACUACUCGCUGGUUACAUGUUUCAGAUAUUCACCACCCCUGUCACCAUUACUGCCUUCCAGCUUCAUCUUCUGAUCAUUGGCUUGACAUGGAAAAAGGAAAGAAAACCUUAACAGAUCAUGGAACCCUAUGCUUCAUUAUUGUUCUUGGAAAACUGAUGACUGGGAAGCAGAUUUUGAAGUCAACUUCCAAGAAGACACAGAAGAUGAUCCGAUUCACCUGGAGGCAAACAAUAAACACUCAAAGUGAAAGGAAAUAUGGUGACUGCCUCCCCAGAACAUGGGCUUGGAACAAAAAACAAACGGAAAAUCCUCCUACAGGUUUUUGGUGGUAUACUGCUAACUACGUGAAGUUCAAGUUGUGUGUAUGUGUGUGUGUGUGUGUACCCUUUAUGUAAAUAAACCCAUGGGCUCUUUGGUAGAAAGAUGUUAUAUAAAUCAAAUAAGAAAUAAUAAAUGACAACAAGCCACUUUGUAGCAAGCUAUAAA